rnacentral:rRNA from 1 species
GAUGAACGCUAGCGGGAGGCUUAGCACAUGCAAGUCGAGGGGCAGCAUUGGUACUUGUACCAGAUGGCGACCGGCGAACGGGUGCGUAACGCGUAUGCAACCUACCUUAUACAAAGGGAUAGCCCAUGGAAACGUGGAUUAAUACCUUAUAGUACUAUUUAGCUUCAUGGCUUAAUAGUUAAAACUUCGGUGGUAUAAGAUGGGCAUGCGUCUGAUUAGCUAGAUAGUGAGGUAACGGCUCACCAUGGCCACGAUCAGUAGGGGUUCUGAGAGGAUUACCCCCCACACUGGUACUGAGACACGGACCAG